rnacentral:rRNA from 1 species
GUAAGGGAUAUUGCGACAAUGGGCGAAAGCCUGACGCAGCAACGCCGCGUGUGGGAUGACGGCCUUCGGGUUGUAAACCACUUUUCGGGGGGAAGAGGAAGGACGGUACCCCCGGAAGAAGUCUCGGCUAACUACGUGCCAGCAGCCGCGGUAAAACGUAGGAGGCAAGCGUUAUCCGGAUUUACUGGGUGUAAAGCGCGUGCAGGCGGUCUGUCAAGUCGCGUGUGAAAGCGCCCGGCUCAACCGGGCGAGGCCGCGCGAAACUGAGAGACUGGAGGCCGGUAGAGGCGUGUGGAAUUCCGGGUGUAGUGGUGAAAUGCGUAGAGAUCCGGAGGAACACCAGUGGCGAAGGCGACACGCUGGACCGAGCCUGACGCUCAGACGCGACAGCAUGGGGAGCGAACGGGAUUAGAAACCCGAGUAGUCC